rnacentral:rRNA from 1 species
AGAGUUUGAUCCUGGCUCAGAAUGAACGCUGGCGGCGUGCCUAACACAUGCAAGUCGCACGAGAAAGGCUAAUCUUCGGAUGGCCUAGUAAAGUGGCGCACGGGUGAGUAACGCGUAGGUAACCUACCCCUGGGACUGGGAUAACAGUGCGAAAGCGCUGCUAAUACCGGAUACGAUCUUGACGCGGGAGCGUCAAGGUGAAAGUCGGCCUCUCGAAGAAGCCGGCGCACGGGGAUGGGCCUGCGUCCUAUCAGCUAGUUGGUAGGGUAACGGCCUACCAAGGCGACGACGGGUAGCUGGUCUGAGAGGAUGAUCAGCCACACUGGCACUGGAACACGGGCCAGACUCCUACGGGAGGCAGCAGUGAGGAAUUUUGCGCAAUGGCCGCAAGGCUGACGCAGCAACGCCGCGUGGGUGAUGAAGGCCUUCGGGUCGUAAAGCCCUGUCAGGUGGGAAGAAAGGCUUGGGGGUAAAUAGCUUCUGAGUUUGACGGUACCACCAGAGGAAGCACCGGCUAACUCCGUGCCAGCAGCCGCGGUAAUACGGAGGGUGCAAGCGUUAUUCGGAAUUACUGGGCGUAAAGCGCGUGUAGGCGGCUCGACAAGUCUGAUGUGAAAGCCCUGGGCUCAACCUGGGAAGUGCAUUGGAAACUGUUUGGCUUGAGUACUGGAGAGGAAGGGAGAAUUCCCGGUGUAGAGGUGAAAUUCGUAGAGAUCGGGAGGAACACCAGUGGCGAAGGCGCCCUUCUGGACGGUUACUGACGCUGAGACGCGAAAGCGUGGGGAGCAAACAGGAUUAGA